rnacentral:miRNA from 1 species
UAUCAGAGUCUUGGGUCCUUGU